rnacentral:tRNA from 1 species
GCGCCCUUAGCUCAACUGGACAGAGCGUCGGACUUCGGAUCCGAUGGUUGGGGGUUCGAGUCCUCCAGGGCGCGCCA